rnacentral:rRNA from 1 species
GGAAUAUUGGACAAUGGGUGAGAGCCUGAUCCAGCCAUCCCGCGUGAAGGAUGACGGCCCUACGGGUUGUAAACUUCUUUUGUAUAGGGAUAAACCUACUCUCGUGAGAGUAGCUGAAGGUACUAUACGAAUAAGAACCGGCUAACUCCGUGCCAGCAGCCGCGGUAAUAGGGAGGGUGCAAGCGUUAUCCGGAUUUAUUGGGUUUAAAGGGUCCGUAGGCGGAUUUGUAAGUCAGUGGGGAAAUCUCACAGCUUAACUGUGAAACUGACAUUGAUACUGCAAGUCUGGAGUGUUGUUGAAGUAGCUGGAAUAAGUAGUGUAGCGGUGAAAUGCAUAGAUAUUACUUAGAACACCAAUUGCGAAGGCAGGUUACUAAGCAACAACUGACGCUGAUGGACGAAAGCGUGGGGAGC